rnacentral:rRNA from 1 species
UACAGAGGUCCCAAGCGUUGUUCGGAUUCACUGGGCGUAAAGGGUGCGUAGGCGGUUAGGUAAGUCUAGUGUGAAAUUCCGGAGCUUAACUCCGGAACGGCAUUAGAUACUACUUUACUAGAGGGUUGGAGGGGGGACUGGAAUUCUCGGUGUAGCAGUGAAAUGCGUAGAUAUCGAGAGGAACACCAGUGGCGAAGGCGAGUCCCUAGACAAUUCCUGACGCUGAGGCACGAAAGCCAGGGGAGCAAACGGG